rnacentral:rRNA from 1 species
CAAGAGGUGGCCGCCUGGGACUCCCUCCUCCAGGACAUCGCUCUUCUACCGCUUGACAUGGAGGGUGCUCCUGACUCCCUAUCUUGGCGGUUGGAGCCCACCGGCCGCUUCUCCACAAAAUCCUUAUACUCGGCCAUCGCCCCCUCGUCGGCCCCUGAGCCCUUUAGCCUGGUUUGGGACAUCCGACUCCCACUGAAGAUCCAGAUCUUCAUGUGGCAGUGGAUUAGGGGACACCUCCCUUCUGGGGUGGAGGUCCUCAAGUGUAAUGGCCCGGGAAAUGGGAUAUGCCCCCUUUGCGGCACGGUGGAGGAUGCUAACCACAUCUUCUUCUCCUGCUCUACGACCCAAUUCCUGUGGUCUUGCUUCCGUGAGACGGUCGGUGGACGUUGGUGUAAUACCAAUUUCCCAGACUUGUUGGCAGAAACCCACGCCUCCGCCCCCCUUGAUGUAAUACUAAUUGCCCUAUUAUUAAUAAUCCAUUUACUAACCUAA